GGCCGGAUGGUCUAGUAGUAUGAUUCCUUGUUAGGGUAACGCGUGAUCGACGUCACGCGAUCCUGAUCGAGGAGGUCCCGGGUUCAAUUCCCGGUUCGGCCC